rnacentral:rRNA from 1 species
UGGCUCAGGAUGAACGCUGGCGGCGUGNNNAACACAUGCAAGUCGAACGGGAUCUCCUGGAUUCGUCUGGGGGUGAGAGUGGCGAACGGGUGAGUAACACGUAGAUGANUGCCCCAAAGAGGGGAAUAACUGCUGGAAACGGUGGNUAAUACCCCAUGUGCUCGGUGGUUCGGUCUGCCGAGUAAAGUUCCGGCGCUUUGGGAGGGGCCUGCGGCCCAUCAGGUAGUUGGUAGGGUAAUGGCCUACCAAGCCGAUGACGGGUAGGGGGCGUGAGAGCGUGAACCCCCACACUGGCACUGAGAUACGGGCCAGACUCCUACGGGAGGCAGCAGUGAGGAAUAUUGCCCAAUGGACGCAAGUCUGAGGCAGCAACGCCGCGUGGGCGAUGAAGGCCUUCGGGUUGUAAAGCCCUUUUCUGGGGGACGAGGAAGGACGGUACCCCAGGAAUAAGUCACGGCUAACUACGUGCCAGCAGCCGCGGUAAUACGUAGGUGGCGAGCGUUAUCCGGAUUCACUGGGCGUAAAGCGCGUGCAGGCGGUUUCGUAAGUCGGACGUGAAAGCUCCUGGCUUAACUGGGAGAGGUCGUUCGAUACUGCGGGGCUUGAGGUCGGGAGAGGGACGUGGAAUUCCCGGUGUAGUGGUGGAAUGCGUAGAUAUCGGGAGGAACACCAGUGGCGAAGGCGACGUCCUGGCCCGCACCUGACGCUGAGACGCGAAAGCGUGGGUAGCGAACGGGAUUAGAUACCCCGGUAGUCCACGCUGUAAACGGUGGGUACUAGGUGUUGGUGGCUAUCGUCAUCAGUGCCGUAGCUAACGCGUUAAGUACCCCGCCUGGGGACUACGGCCGCAAGGCUAAAACUCAAAU